UCCAUUUUGCGUUGCGUCAGUUGGGAAGAAAGGAUUGUCGAUUAAAGUAGCAGGCGAUUGCUGGAACGCAUUUAUCAUUGUCAUAAUUAAUGGCGCUUCGUCUGGUUUCAUCAAUUCUUGCCGGCCGAGCCGCUAAUUGAAGCGGGUUAGAAUUGAGCCAUUAGAAUUGAGCGGCAAUCCAGAAUUUGAAUUCAGCAGUUUCACACUUUUAUUACUAACUCACCCUGCGGCACAUGCAAUGCGCGAAAUCUCUGGGAGCGAAAACAAGUGAGCUCGAUGCCUGCAAUGCACACUGCAAUGCACGUUGCAUAGGGCUGCAUUUGCCCUAUGCACAAGCAGAUUGGAGCGCAUUAUGAAUGGAAAGAUAAGACGGCCAACGAGCUGCAAUACACUCGCGUUACAUUCAAGAUUCGCUGAAGAGGCACGUUUGGGCACCUUUUUACUGUCCGAUCUCGGAAAUAACAAGAAGCCAUCGUGCCUCCCGGAAUUGCAGUUUCAAUUAUUCGUCUGUUGUUUGCGCGCUUUGCGAUUAUCACUGAAAUCGUCGGAAGACCAGCGGGAUUCGUGUAAGUUUCUAAGUUUCCCGAAUUUUUUUUUUUACAAACUUGCUAACC